AUUGAACGCUGGCGGCAGGCCUAACACAUGCAAGUCGAGCGGUAGAGAGGUGCUUGCAUCUCUUGAGAGCGGCGGACGGGUGAGUAAUGCCUAGGAAUCUGCCUAGUGGUGGGGGAUAACGUUCGGAAACGGACGCUAAUACCGCAUACGUCCUACGGGAGAAAGCGGGGGAUCUUCGGACCUCGCGCCAUUAGAUGAGCCUAGGUCGGAUUAGCUAGUUGGUGAGGUAAUGGCUCACCAAGGCGACGAUCCGUAACUGGUCUGAGAGGAUGAUCAGUCACACUGGAACUGAGACACGGUCCAGACUCCUACGGAGGCAGCAGUGGGGAAUAUUGGACAAUGGGCGAAAGCCUGAUCCAGCAAUGCCGCGUGCAGGAUGAAGGCCUCGGUUGUAACGUAG
rnacentral:rRNA from 1 species